UACGAAGGGGGCUAGCGUUGCUCGGAAUCACUGGGCGUAAAGGGUGCGUAGGCGGGUCUUUAAGUCAGGGGUGAAAUCCUGGAGCUCAACUCCAGAAUUGCCUUUGAUACUGAAGAUCUUGAGUUCGGGAGAGGUGAGUGGAACUGCGAGUGUAGAGGUGAAAUUCGUAGAUAUUCGCAAGAACACCAGUGGCGAAGGCGGCUCACUGGCCCGAUACUGACGCUGAUGCACGAAAGCGUGGGGAGCAAACAGG
rnacentral:rRNA from 1 species